AAGUGGUGUCAGGCUCAUGUUAUGCGGUGCCCUGGGGAGGUACCCCCAGCAGUGAUCAUCCCUCUGCCCAUGGCUCCCCAGAAUUGCAGAAAGCCCAGUGACAACUGGAGGAGACGUGGAAUCAAACCAGUACAUUCCUCUGAUUCGUCUCCCAGCCAUCCUGUAACACAUCCUAAAAACCUUGGGAGCAACGUCUCAUGAGGUGAUGAUGUGAAAACACUGACUACAGAUGAAAGGCCAUGUUUAGGUUGAUGAUGGGAGAGUGAAGAAGAGUUAAGCCGUUUUGGGGCAUGCUAUGUGCAGGGGAACCUCCUCGAGAUGAGGCAAGAUGGGACACAGCUGUGGGCAGUGCUGGUAGUUAUCAGGAUAGUGGCCUUCUUUAAUGUGGAUGGGGAAGAGCAAUAAGGAUUCCACCAGACAGUGAGAAAAAGGAACAGAACAGGAUAUAAGGCCAAGUUAAAAGACUGUACUCACAGCCCACCCACCGGGACACAGAAAGGCAAUGAUUCAAACCCCUGCGCAGGUAAUGUGCAACUACAGAGGCUGAACUACUUGGAAGAUAACCUCAGCUACGC